ACCAACAGAAGAAAACAAGACCUUCAUGACUUUUGUUAUACCACACGAAAAAGAGAAUCUUUUGACAGACUUUUUCGCUGAGCUGCAAGACAGAGAAGAAGAAUUUGGAAUCUCAGACAUCCAGCUUGGUCUCGCAACUCUUGAAGAAGUGUUUUUGAA